UACGUAGGCAGCAAGCGUUGUUCGGAGUUACUGGGCGUAAAGGGUGUGUAGGCGGUUCUUUUAAGUUUGGUGUGAAAUCUCCCGGCUCAACCGGGAGGGUGCGCCGAAUACUGAGGGACUAGAGUGCGGGAGAGGAAAGUGGAAUUCCUGGUGUAGCGGUGAAAUGCGUAGAUAUCAGGAGGAACACCGGUGGUGUAGACGGCUUUCUGGGACCGUAACUGACGCUGGAGAACACGGAAAAGCGUGGGUAGCAAACAGG
rnacentral:rRNA from 1 species